GGAAGAAGGAGAUGAGAUUUGAGAAAGUAGCUUCUUUCAAUCAAAUUGAGGUAAAAAAGGAAAAAGGAAGGGUGAUGAUGGAUUUUACAAUGGAUUACGAAGAUCCAAGGGCCAACACAAACCCUAGCGCUGGAUAUCUGUUCCCACCUCCACCAACUCACCUUAAUCAUCCGUAAUUAAUAGUUUAUGCUUCCUAAUCAAAUAAGGCCUGCUGGGGUGACACUUGGCAGCCUAUUACACUGUCUCUGUUCAUUUCUAUUUUCUUAUUAUUUUUUGGGUAGGGAUAUUUGAAUGUAGUUUUAGCUUUUGCAAUGUCUAAUGACAAGGUCUUGUUUCUCUGUUGCAAACACGCUGAGUCAACUCAUUUACUGAUUAAAAAGCAUCCCCAAGUUACGGAACGGCGGCCAUACUCUAGCAUAGUAUGAUGGAUGAUACGCAGGCAGCUACAAGUUGUUUAGGAUUUCCGUACAUGGCAUUCAACUAAUUCGUCGUUUCCAGAUUGUUUUUUUUUU